AGAAACAGAGGUAGUGUGUGUAUGUGUGUGUGUGUGUGUAUGCAGGGAAACAGCUGUUCAUUCAGGGUGGGACUUGCAUGGUGUGUGUGUGGGCGAGUGCAUGCAUGUGCCUGCUUCUAUUGUGUGUGUGAUGUAUUAUUGACGCUCAGGUCCUUCAUCAGUAAGCAGAUACGAGCGUACGAACGCCGACGCAGCCAGCGGCGCUCAGGACUCUGAUGAUCCCUGCACGAGCGCACGAGGAAAACAAAACGCUCGAAAUAAACACACACACAGAGAAAACAGAACACACACACACACACACACACACAUGAAAAUAAAAUAAAAAGGCAUGAGGAGGAAGAGAAGAAAAGGAAAGACGCAGGGAGAAUCUCAUCACCGGGAACAGACACCAACAUCAAAACCGACCAAUCAGAGAUCUUUAAAAACAUUCAUUCAGUUUAAAAAAGGAGGAUUACACUCGAAGCGUUUCAUCGCAAGUCGUCCGUGCAUCGUGUGAUUUCCCAGCAUGCCCUGCGCUCAACUCAAUUAAACCUGCACUUUCACUCGGAUACGGUUUCCCACUGCUUCCCUUCUCUGCCCUUUCCAUCCACCCAUCCUCAAACUUCUCACUAGUGCAGAGCACUCGAUUUAUUCUCUCUCUCUCUCUCUCUCUCACACACACACACACACACACACACACACACACACACACACCAUGAGAAACCCAAACACAAAUCAGUGUUCCAUGUUGUCUUCAUUCCUGUGUGCAGAGGAGGAGCAGAGCACCUGCUGCUGAGGACAAACACACACUCGGAGAAACACACACUCGCUCGCACACACACUCGCGGUUCUACCACCAAUACGGGUGAGGAGGAGAGAACUGCCAGGAUUCCAGUGUUUACUACAACCUCUCUCUCUGUCUGUCUGUCUUUCUGCACCUCUUUCUCAAAGUCUGUCCGUCUCUCUCUCGGUCUCUAUAAAAUUAAUUCUUUGGACCAAUCAGAAUCCAGGAUUCAGUCUGAGGUUUUCUAUGUGAAAAGACACAAGGAAGGAAACAGUCUCUGCAUUUCAUGGUCAUGAUUUUUAUCAGGAAUAAUGUGUUAUGGUAAAUCAGAAUAAACCAACACAGAGGUCUGUGUAGCUCGUCCUCGCAGGCCGAGAGAAAGAUGGGCGUUUAAACCCGGGGUGAGGACGGCGGCUAAGAUGGAGUUGCUUCGGUUUAAUUAGAAACGAUGAUCUGCUCCGUGUCGCACUUCAGAUGUUGACAGAACACCGAGUGUGAAGACCGGCCUUGGAAGAACUUGUAAAGAACAGAAAAACAGUUCACGAUGCUAAACAGAGUCCUCCCUCCCCACACACCACACACCUCACGCCAGGUGAUACGGACCACGUUCACACGGACGGCAGUGAUCUAAUCAUCGACCUUAUUCUGAAUAAGACAAUAUGGUGAUGAAGGUGUUUACACGAGUGGCUUUAGAAUACUCCUGUCAUGUUCCCGUGUUACGUGUUCUAGAACACAGUUAGAUUAACAGCCCGUCAUCACGUCCCCGCGCCACGCCGUCCGACGUCCCUCCAGAAUUUCACGUAUCGACGUACAGUCGGUCUCCGUUAUGGGACCGUGUACAGUUUCGGUGUUCCAUGUUUAAUUUUAGGAAAGCUUCCAGUGCGGUUAAUUAUCUGUCGUGCCGUACGUGUAAACAGACGACUGCUUGAAGCCGUGGGCUGCGUCCCGAACCGCGUACUCUACAGUAUAGUCUACAUAGUAGCGGAGAUGCAUGUUUUUCUCCUACGAUAUCUCAGGUAAGGCCGGUCUCAGGCUCUCUGUUAAACACACUGUUCAGACAUCAUAAACAUCUUCAAGCUCAAACUCCUGAGGAUCUGAGCGCUCGCAGCACACCAACGACCAUCAACAGAGAGAAGUAAAAUGUUCCGUGACGUCUGAUUGGUUGAUAUUCAGUAGUAUGUGUAUUACACGUAAACACACGCACUCCCCCCCAGUUUGAUAUUAAAAGAAAUGAAGGAAUAUUUCUCUUUUAUCAAUAACGAUAAACGUCUGGAACUUUCUGGAGUGUAAAUAUUAAUGGGAGCUGGGACUGUGAUCGCGACCUGCGUGGAGGUUCUGUAAGAAGCCUGAUGAAGGAGGAACAGGAACUGCGAACUCAUGUUACUGCGCUCGGCCGAGGAGGGCCAGCGUCGGGUUUCCAUUUCCCUUUUAAAUAUUGUAGGAGCGUAAUCAAGAGCGGAGAACUGAAACCCAGCUGAGAGCCCGAGCAGAAAGACGAGCGGUCACCUGAUCCGGGCCGAGCCGCCGGGCCGAGCCGCCGGGCCUUUUACACACGCUGCAUUGUGUAGUACAGCAGAGAAAACAGAGAAGGCCAAGCAGCUACAGGAGAUCUGCUGCUGUCAGAGCCGUGUGUGUGUGUGUGUGUGUGUGUGUGUGUGUGUGUGUGUGUGUGUGUGUGUGUGUGACCGAUGAGCCUCAGCAACACUGCAACAGUGUGUGUGUGUGUGUGUGUGUGUGUGUAUUUAUUAUAUGCGGGUGUGUAUUGGUGAACAUACCACAGUGAACAGGUCAAUACUUUGGGUUUCUAUAGGAUGACAUACCAACUAAGUAAUUAUUAUUAUUAUUAUUAUUAUUAUUAUUAUUACUACUACUACAUUUUUACUUUAGAUACACAUCCACAGGAUACAUAUAAGGAUUAAAGAAUUAAACAAUAAAAGAUUAAACAUUAAAAUGCAAAAAAAAAAAGAAUAGUCAGUGAGAAUAAAUGGAAAAGAUGUUAACACAAGCGUUAAUAAAUAAUCAUAACUAUUUAUUCAUUCACAGUUAUUUAUUUAUUCAUUCAUUUUUGUUUAACUGAUUUCACAGAUUUUAUUUAUUUAUUUAUUUAUUUUUUUAAGUCAAACAUUUUUUAUACAUUCCUUUUUUUUUUGCAAUUUAAAGCAGCAAUAUGUCUGAACCAAAACCGCUUUGGAGGCGGGGCUACGUAUGAACUCACUUUCUGAGGUCACAAUUUCACGGCUUGGUAUGCAAAUUAUUAGAGAAUGACAACAGCAGCGCAGCAGCAUUAAAUUUUAGUCCCAGAACCUUCAUGCUAAUCUAGCUAGCUGGCUACCGUCACUAAUGUUAAAGAAUGCUAUGAAUACAUCAGGGUUGUCAAGGUAACAAAUGAAACAGAUUCUGACGAUCAGAAAUAAAGGAGUGCGAAAACGAGGAUGUAAGUGGAGACCCUGCGACUAAAGCGAGCUAGUUUAGUUGUGAUUAUCCAACCGCGUGGCUGCUCCAGGAUGCUCCAAAUUUGCAUAUAUGUGCAUAAUCAUCAAACCCAGGUGUAAUGAGGGUAAAAGCGCAGACGCGUUCCUCUGCCAUUUUUAGUAAGUUUAUUCCACAAAAUCUGUUGAAAACCUGCUGCAGAUUGAAACAGGAGGACUCGCGGGCUGAACCCAGAGGUGUCAGUGAAAACCUCAUCGCACGCUCGUACAGAGGAGUGAAAGCUGCGCUUGCGAGCCAGGUGAAGCGCGCGCAGUGACGUCGCCGUGUUUUGCCUUUCAUUUGCACGACUGAAUUUUUCUGCUCCCAGGCAACUUUUUUCCCUUCAUAGUUUCCACAUGCCGAGUUUUCUGCAAGCCGAACACGCUGGUGCUAGCGUGAGAUCCGGAUCAGGGAGCAUGGCGAACAUUCUUACAUGACUGCACUGCCACUGAGGAAUUUUUAAUAUACUUUCAGCUUUCCUUUAAUCUGGGAGACUCAUCACGAGGCUGCUCACAGAAGUGAUGGGACUUAAUCAGAAAAUAAUACAAUCCCCUCAAGGUGCCAUUCAUCAGACUCAGGUAGCAGUUCACGCCCACUAAAGGGGCAGGGGGGGUUAUGGGUAACAGUAAUGAUGGACCGGGGGUUCACGGGUGAGCGUACUGACGGAGAGGGGGUUCACGGGUGAGCGUACUGACGGAGAGGGGGUUCACGGGUGAGCGUACUGACGGAGAGGGGUACGGGGUCGGAGCGUACUGACGGAGAGGGGGUUUAUUGCUCAUUCUUGCUUUCCGUUUUCUGUAGAUUUGGGGUUUUUUCACGUGACAGUGCCCCCUAGUGAACACGCUCAUGUCACGUGAAUCAGGUCCUGACCUGCUCGCAGAUGCACCCUUUCAGAAGCCUAAAUCUGACCCUGACCUCCAUACAGACACACUGACCCAGGCAGCUGGAUUACAAUGAGCUCCACCAGGCCUGGAGCAGGUAGAACAUUCCAGUGACGGAGAUCACCUUGAGGCAAAUACCCCGAUUACACAGCAACGUAAAUAGUUUGCCGAGUAAAAGGAAAAAACCGUACUGGAAGCAGAGAGGAGAGCUAAGCUAUGUACGGGAUAAAUAAAAUGAGAGAAACGUUGGUGCAGUAAUACCCUGGUCUAAUCCAGGUCACCACACUGCUCUCGUUCCUCGGAGAUGAAAAGUGAGGAGCUUAUUAAAUCCGAAGCUCCAUGGUACAGUAGAACAAUGACACUCGCGGCCAAAACGAGGACAGCGAGGAAACGAGCCAGAGACGGAGAGAAUGCCAACAAAGAGCCAUCACCAGCGAGCAGCCAAAACAUGACAGGAGGAGCGCAUCAGGAGCUCAAGAGGAGAAAAAAAAAAAAACACAUACUUGUUUGGCCUUGGCCUCACAACACAAUCGAAGAGUUUUUGUUAUGGCUCCUUUACUGAAAUCUAAAGCACAUCGAGGACAUCAACAAUCAAGAGUUCAAGGAAAAGAAUCGGAGGAAGAAAAACCUGUAAUAACGGAGCAAAAACCGCGGACAAGAAAGCAAAGAUCUGCUCAAUAAAUCGGCUCACGGAGUGCAAGCGACACACGAUCAUCAAACAGCACCAGUCACACGGCUCGGCUGACAACGUUAGCUUCCUAAACACAGCGCUGCGCUAACUCUGGUGAUGCAACAGAUACUUCAGCUAACGUUAUCCCUUCAAGCAGCAGCGCUCUAAUCUCACGAACAAGCUAGCUAACGUCAGGCCUACCAUUAGAUCAACCCCAAAUAAACCCGCAGACAGUUACACUAGCAGGGUAGCUAACGUUAGGCCAUCAGGCGAACAAUAAUGUAAUCAAAUGUUUAAGAAUGCUAAUUUAUAAAGUAACAAACCUGGUGGGGGUGGGGUGGGGGAGGCUAAUGCACUCACAUUAUUUAUCUCUAAUAAAAAUAUUUAGUCCGAGACAAAAACUCAAACUGAUCUUAAAACUGAGAGCGUGUGAAAUAAAUUUUUAAUCACAGGAGCUGAAGUGUGUGUUCAAGGCUGGGUGUAAGGGGAGAACCCAAUCAGACGAGCGCUAACGUUUCACUCGCCAACAAAGUGCCAUGUGUUUGGGCCGUGCCAGGAGCAGUGUGUGUGUGUGUGUGUGUGUGUGUGAGAGAGAGAGAGAGAGAGAAAGAGAGAGUGUGUAAAAUGGAGGGUGUGUGAGUGUUUGGUGGGGUCUCAAAAUCCAGCCUCUGUAAUUUCCAGCAAAGCAACACUGACACCACACACACACACACACACACACACACACACACACACACACACACACACACACGCCUCUCUUCAGGAUCAGACUGAAACUCUGAGGAUGGAGUUUUUCCUUCAGGAUGAAUGCUGUUCAGCGUGAGGAGGAAACACAGGGAGAGUCGUCGCAUAAACUGAAACAGAUGGAGCUCGAGCGGCUGCUUGUUCACAAGCAAACUCACAGAAUCCUGACCGAGUCAGCUUCACGCCGAGUCCGCUUCACGAGUCUACAUCACAGCGAGUCAGCUUCACGAGUCUCAUCACAGCGAGUCAGCAUCACGAGUCUCAUCACAGCGAGUCAGCUUCACGAGUCUCAUCACAGCGAGUCAGCUUCACGAGUCUCAUCACAGCGAGUCAGCAUCACGAGUCUCAUCACAGCGAGUCAGCUUCACGAGUCUCAUCACAGCGAGCCCGCUUCACGCCGAGCCCGCUUCACGCCGAGCCCGCUUCACGCCGAGCCCGCUUCACGCGACACCACUGCUGUGUUUCGGGUUUUUAAAGCCGAUGAGGAAAUGACUGAAGUGGCAGCUUCAUUGUUGGGGUUUGUGAAGAGGUUACAGAGCGUUGUGCUCCUUCCUCCUCCAUCAUGCCUUCUCAAAUCCACCUUCUCCACCGAACUCGUACGUGAUCACAGUGGAGAAGGAGGGAGUGUCUUUCAGGACAGUCGCGAUGCUCAAAAAGACAAACAGAAAUUCAUUAUUUUAUAAAAAUGAGCCACACGUUUCACUCCACAUGAAUAUUUAUGAGCGAAUAAUUAUUUCAUCACCACACAGAGUCCACAAACGUCGUCAGAGAAACCGCUCGGAUAUUUAUCCAAAUAAACAAAAACACUGUUUAAUAAAAUGUCUCACUAUCGCAAUAUAAACAUAAAUAAACAAAAACAAAUGAAAACACACGCACAUUCGAUUUUACACACCAGUCGCUGAUGGGAAAACUGCUUCUUUCGCAAAUUUUCAGAAACGUAUUUAAUAAUUAAACUGAAAUCCAGACGUCUCGCAAAAACACUGGCCCUGCGCUUCAUUCGGAAACGACUAGAGCCGAGGUUUUAUUAUUUUAUUAUGUUUAAUUUUAACGGUCUUCAAUAGAAAUGAUUAUUGUUAUAUACUCCAUUAAGAAAGAACAAAGAUGAAAUGAUGCUAAAAUCAAGCCACAGAUUAAAAGAGAAGUUGAGCAUUUUGGGAACUGAUGUUUCCUUCCCGUAGAUUUAAGUGAGCAGUGCAACAAACACCACACACACACACACACACACACACGAUUAAUGACAGGAAGUGGAACACCAGCAGAGCUCAGACCCGCCCCUCAGGCUACAGAGCCGAUUCCUCUGCAGAUUUCCGUGUAAACGAGGUUCGGGAGCCUCGGCUCCUCACCUGAACCUCUGCAGAACUUCGGUUACGUUUCAGUCUGAACCUCAACUACAUCACCGAGAAGAAAAAGCCUUCCCUGAAGAGCCAGGAAGCAGGACACAGAGGGAGAAAAUCCUCACGAAGAAAAACAAACUAAACAAAAAGGCAGACAGAAAACUUCAACUCCCUCUGUUCCUGAAUUCUACUUCCUGUCAGCGAAAAAACCCUCAAAACAUCACGGGGGGGGCAGAGAGAGAGAGAGAGAGAGAGAGAGAGAGAGAGAGAGAGAGAGAGUGUAGGUGAGAUAGGGAGAGACAAAGAGAGAGAGGGAGAGAGAGAGGGGGGAGAGAGACAGAGAGAGAGGGGAGACAGAGAGAGAGAGAGAGAGAGAGAGAGAGAGAGAGAGAGAGAGAGAAACGAGUGAAGCUCCAGUCUCACCUCGCUCUUCCCUCUCUAUUGAUUUUUGCUUGCACCAUUUUCUCUCUCUUUUUAUUCAUAUCGUCCUUCCUUUCAUCGUUAUUUUACCGUCCUUUCUGUUCUCUUCCUUCUGUUCUUUUAUAUCACUUCCUUUUCCCAUCAUUCUUUUCCUUCAUUUUUACCCUUUCCCUUCAUUUUCUCCGUUUGUUCUUGCUCUUUCCCGCGUCUCCUCAGGAACAGUGAGACGAGCGGAGGUAUCUCUGUAACUGACGACACGGCUGAUAUUUUGAUCUGAAACUUACAGGGUUUUAAAAUGAAACACCUUUUUUUUUCCCUGCAAAACCUUGCUUUCAGAAUUAUUGGCACCCCCAGAGUUGUUAAUAGGUGGAACCCCGUGUCCUCUGGGCAGAAGAACAGCACCGAGUCACUUCCUGUGAGUUCUAACGAGCCUGUAGAAGCUUUUGGAAAAUGUCUGACUGUGUUUACCGCAGCAGUAAUCCUGCUUCAUCUCUCACAGCCUUUUAUUUCCCCGUCACUCCACUUCCACGGUCUCUGUUUUAUCUUCACCCCAUGUUUUAUAGUGUUUUUAAUCAGACACAAACUGAUUAAAAACAAAAACACACACGUUUUUACAGAUCACCAUGUGGGUUUGUUUAUUAUUUAUUUAUUUAUUUAUUUAUUUAGGUGUCCAGUGCUUUGCCUUGUAGAAGAUUUUUUUUUUUUUUUUUAGAAGAAAUGCAAAAUAGGUUUUGAAUAAGGGCGUGCAAAUUCCCUUUAUCCAAUCACCUGCGCCCGUUCUAUCACACGAUGCCAAUAAUUUUGGAACAAAGCCAAAAUGUAAUAGAUUGAAUUGAAGUCUCGCUGCUGAGCCUCAGACGAGCGUGCAGAACGGCGUGUGGAUAAAUGAGGAGAAAACAGAGUUGAAAGAGAUUUUCAGGAAAGUGGAAAGAAUGAGUCACCGAGACACACUCCAUAUUCAUUCUCUCUCUCUCUCUCCCUCUCUCUCUCUCUCCUGAGCUGAACAGGAAGUGAGAUGGCAGAAAACAAGGAAAUGGGCAGCAGAGCUUCCUGUGUCAGAGCAGCAUGAAACUCACCGCUAUCGAACGCAGGAGAAAAAUCGUCCAACCUCCGUAAGAGACGGAGAUAAAGCUGGAGAAAACACGUCUUCCCGACGGACGCCACGCCUCCAGCCGUCUGAUAAACGUUCUCCCUCUUUUAUAACCUCAUUCUUCCGCACAAUUUAAAAGGAAAACUCGUUCUUAUUCACUUACACGGAUACGUUCGUAUAUAAACACGGACAUUUGGCGUAACUUUACCGCCUUUAACUUUAAACGCCGGCCAUCUUUAAAAUCUCAAACCCACUGUUCACUAUAUCCGCUCCCUACACGGGGCGGAGCAGGACGCUGCAGCGCUCGAAUCGAUCCCACGCCGUCCGCGGUGCAGCUUUAGAAUGACCGUUAGAUUAUCAGUACUUCCAGACAAGGUAACGAGUCAUUCUGUCUACAAUUACUCAGAUAAAAGUAUUGGCACCCUCAGCUUAGUUUGUGUUGCAUUUUACUGUGCGAACGUUUGGGUGCCCCCCCUCCCCAGUCUCCAAGUCUUAUUUUUCCGUAUGAUGAUAUAAUUUACUAGCCUGUGAUUAUUUAGCUUUAUUUUACAACUUUAACGCACCGACCGAAUUCAAAAUCAGACCAAUCUGAUUCUCCUGUUCACUAAAUAUUCUCCUACACACGGUGUAAUAAUGUUCGAGAGAACGCUGCUUGAGAUUCAGGCACCAAAAAAAAAAAAAAAAAACCUUCCUUUUUUGUUUUGAUAAUGGUGACUCAAUAUUCUUACGAUUUAAAAAAAAAAAAAAAUCUGAUUAAAGUAUUGGCACCCUCAGCUUUGUUUGGUUUACCCGUUGUGUGUGAGAGAGAGAGAGAGAGAGAGAGAGAGAGACGCAACAUUCACAUUUUAUCGUCAAAUAAAUGAAAGCCUGUUGUAAUUUAAUUUCACAUCAAAGAAAAUCAACUCUGAGUAGUAUAUAUACACAUUUUUUUAGAUGAUUUAUUAUUGAUUUACUGACUAAUCUCCGCCUCCAAAGCCUCCAUUGAAACCCCUCCUAUUUUCACAGGAUCUGCUACGAGACGGAUAAACAAUCGCUCAGACUCAUCCAGCGUACAGAUAUCUCAGGAUACGGUUUGUUAGCGUACCACGACACACCACACCGCUGUGUCCUACAACGUUCCAUUUAGUGGAAUAAAAACUCCAGGCCUCAUAUCAGCCUCGAACUACAGAAGUUCUGCACGAUGAUGAGAAUCUUAAUGAAGCAUCUCUCCAUUAGCACAAAGAAUCUGCAGAACAUGAGAGAGGCUCUGCGCCGCUCAGAGGCGUCAGAUCCAGCGCUGAGGAUUAGCGGAACAGCAGGAGAGGACGACAGCGACGAUCUCGGCUAAACACGGGCGCGAGGAAGGAGUUUCACACACGGGAAAUAAGGAUGUUAGAACGAAGAAGAAGGUGUCACGUGGUCCACAUAUGAGAGGGUGAAUUUAGUGGACAGUGAAAAAGCUGAAAAAGACGGGGAGGUACACACGUAGACGUGCCGCUAUUCCACCGAGAAAACCCAAAACAACAAACAAAUAAAAAUAUUUAUUUAAAGCUUUCUGCAUCACGUUGACCGUACAGACUAAACGGAUCAUGUUCCCUCUAAUCCCUUAGCUACUGUCCAAGUCUGCGUCCUAACGAGACAAGAAAAGACGUCAAACUGAGAAAUAAAACUGCAGGGAAGACGGGAAACCACCGCCGGCGGCUCCGGCUUCAAACGGAGCGGCCGACAACGCUACAGCCGUACACGUGAAGCUCCUCUCACGUGAUGUUUGUCCAUCUAAUGACCAAGUACGAUCAGCACACGCACGCAAAAUUCACUAACCGCACGACACUCAUACACACGCGUAUCACAUAACAAACAAACAAUCCUGACGUGUGUACUACAGAACGUCCUUCAUGUGGUGUACGAGUGCAGGACGAGGGGCGGCGCGAAGCAAACCGGUUCUCCUCAACGUGGACACGAAGCUUCACAAAAUCAGAAACGUGCACGGAAAAGUGGCUUUCCUGUCUGAAGUAUGCAUAAAAAAAAGAUUUAUUUUUACUCUCCUUUCAUUAAAAUAAAACUAAACAAGCACGUGAUUGAGAUAGUUUCAAAUGUUUAAAAUUGCAAACACAACACAGACCCCUCGCCAUGUAUUCUCCAACCUCAAGGCAUCACAGGAGAAGACCGAGAGCUGUUAUCUCGGCAGAGGGAGCUAGCACGGUCUCGGAUUAGAUUGGCAAAUUGAGCUAACUGUACUAGUUACAUACCCUCACCAGAGGCACCAAAGAUCUCCGCGACGUCCUUCCGAGCUUUCUUUUCCUUCCCAACGGUUCGGUACACAUUUAAUGAGAGCGUGUAUAUAACAUGAAGAAAUUUAAUCAUGGAGGUUAUACAAUUUUAUCCCAUUUCUGCAGGAACUAAAAUUGUGAGCAUGGAGCUGAAGAAACGUCACACCUGGAUGUGUUGCUUUACAGAGCCUUAUCAAAUUUGCAUAGAACGGAGAACAUCCCAGUUAAAUUGUGUCUGGAAUCGCUGCUUCAGGCCAUGAAAGUACGUAGAAAAUGAGAGCUCAGCGGUUGCUUAGGGUUAGAGCCACAAUCAUACGACAGAAGAGACGCACUGCUACGUCGCCAAGCUUCAAAACAGAUCUUUUAAAAUCCUCUGCUCUAAUAGCAGCCUGCAACACCAAAACCACUUCAGUGUACAACACACUGCUGCCACACACACACACACACACACACACACGCGCGCAUUUAAGCGUGAUUUCUCUAAUCACUGUAAUUUUGGUUCGGAGCUAUUUUCCUUCCAGUGCAGAAACAAAACCGUCCACCGUUUCAGCUCCACAACACAUCUCAAUCAAAACACCACGCUAGAAACAAGUUACCUGAUAUUAAACGCACACCCGAUCCGUCAUAGUCACACCGAUGCACGUCUAAAGCUAUGAAGUGAUGCACUAAAAUGAGAAAAGCAUCCGAAGCGUCAUUCUGAACCUUCCCGGGUCGUUGGACCGGUUUAUGAAGCGACGCAACACGCAAAGAUCAAAUCGUUUUAAUUAACAAAAGCUCUGAGCGGGACCAAUCACUUCCGCUUAUACGCUUCUGCAGCCGCACGUCUCGUACACAACACUGAACACACAUCGUAUUCACUCUUCGUCUCAACAGGAAGUGAAGCUGUAACACUCUAUGACAUCAUUCACAAAGAGGACGUGUGCAAGUUGCUCAGUUUUAGACCACUGAACACUCGGAUUAAGGGAAUUCCUCUGGCAGUUCCCCGCCCCUCAACUCCCCUGCUUUUAUCCGACACCCAUAAUAAAGUAUUCCCCAAAAUACACAUGGGUUUGUCCCUCCAAAUGCCUAAAAAAGCAAUUCUGCCUCACAGAGAGAAGCUCAGGCCAGACCUCUCUCCAGUCGUUAUUAGGUUGCGGCCCUGGACAAUGCCGUGUGUGUGAGCGGACAUUGCUCAUUCAUGUUACGAAACCACGCUGAGGCAGUUUUAGACGAUCUAUAUUCUAACGCAGAGUUCGUACAAGAGGAGAGACACGGAAAACAUCUCGCAGAAAGGAGAUCCGAGAGAGCUCACCUGUUCAGUAGGAUAUGAGCCAGUCACCUCGUAUACUAGGUAAGGACGUUGCUCAUAAGGACAGGUUAGGCCAGUUUGCAGAUGAGCGAGCAGGAGAUCAGAUCAGAUUUAACUAUGCCACAAUAUCCAGCAGCAUUACUUCAUACCUGAGAGAGCCGGCAAACACUCCACGAAAAUACACUCCACAAAACGGCAAACACUCCGCACUCUAUUAGAGCUCCUGCACUUCUACAUUUCAUUUCUCUGAAGAAAAAGGAAAUAUACGAUUAAAUAUCUGAUUACAUUAUACACUACACACAGAGUCCUCUACUCUACUACGGUCCAAACUGUCACCGAUCCACACGUCUCAUUACGACAUUAGACCAUGGAGUAACGCCCACUUUAUUCAGCUCUAUAAACCACCAUGACUUUUACCACACGAUCACAUGACUUUUAUUUCAGACAGGAAUCACCAGCCUUGUUACCAUACCUUUAAAAACUUCGUAAUACAGCUGAGGAAAUGUAAGGAUUAUCGGCUUUAACAGUGUGCGCACACACACACACACACACACACACACACACACACACACACACAGAGAGAAAAAAGGGAAAGAAGAAAAAAAAAAAACGCAGUUCAAGAUUUCUUACUUUGUUGUAUGAAUUCUACACAGAAUCCUGUGUUCCCCAGAGGGAUAACUCAUAAGAAUUAAAACACGAUUACACACCGCCUCAACAUACACCUUUACCUCAGUCCACACCUUUAUAAAACAUUCCACACCCCCUCAGG
ensembl:lncRNA